rnacentral:RNase_P_RNA from 1 species
GGAUAACGUCCAGUGAGGGUGACCUCAAGGAAAGUGCCACAGAAAAGGAAACGCCGACCGGGUGCAGCAAUGCUGGUCCGGGGCAAAGCUGAAAAGGUGCGGUAAGAGCGCACCAGCGGUUAAGUGAUUAACCGGCUUGGUAAACCCCACCUGGAGCUAGACCGAAUAGGAGUGGGCGUCUGCCCGGCAGACGCAAGAAUGGCCCGUUCUACCCUCGGGUACGGUCGCAUGAGGCGGCAGGCAACUGUCGUCCCAGAUAAAUGGUUACCGCCGACUGCCGUGGGUAGUCGGUACAGAACUCGGCUUACAGGUCGGUUGGGAAC